rnacentral:rRNA from 1 species
GUAAACGGCGGCCGUAACUAUAACGGUCCUAAGGUAGCGAAAUUCCUUGUCGGGUAAGUUCCGACCUGCACGAAUGGCGUAAUGAUGGCCAGGCUGUCUCCACCCGAGACUCAGUGAAAUUGAACUCGCUGUGAAGAUGCAGUGUACCCGCGGCAAGACGGAAAGACCCCGUGAACCUUUACUAUAGCUUGACACUGAACAUUGAGCCUUGAUGUGUAGGAUAGGUGGGAGGCUUUGAAGCGUGGACGCCAGUCUGCGUGGAGCCAACCUUGAAAUACCACCCUUUAAUGUUU